AGCAGCCGCGGUAAUUCCAGCUCCAAUAGCGUAUAUUAAAGUUGUUGCAGUUAAAAAGCUCGUAGUUGAAUCUCGGGAUCAAUUUGCUGGUCGUGCCUCUGGUACGUACUGGUAUUAUUGGUUUCUCCCUUCUGACGAACCAUGAUGUCAUUAAUUUGAUGUCGUGGAGAAUCAGGACUGUUACUUUGAAAAAAUUAGAGUGUUUAAAGCAGGCAUUAGCUUGAAUACAUUAGCAUGGAAUAAUGAAAUAGGACGUUUGAUCCUAUUUUGUUGGUUUCUAGGAUUGACGUAAUGAUUAAUAGGGAUAGUUGGGGGCAUUAGUAUUCAAUUGUCAGAGGUGAAAUUCUUGGAUUUAUUGAAGACUAACUACUGCGAAGGCAUUUGCCAAGGAUGUUUUCAUUAAUCAAGAACGAAAGUUAGGGGAUCGAAGACGAUCAGAUACCGUCGUAGUCUUAACCAUAAACUAUGCCGACUAGGGAUCGGAUGAUGUUAAUUUUUUAAUGACUCAUUCGGCGCCUUA
rnacentral:misc_RNA from 1 species